rnacentral:rRNA from 1 species
UCUAGAAGCUUCGGCAAUGGGGGCAACCCUGACCGAGCGACGCCGCGUGCGGGACGAAGGCCUUCGGGUCGUAAACCGCUUUCGACAGGGAUGAAUAGUAGAGGGACUAACCCUCCCUUUAAAGUGACAGUACCUGGUGAAGAAGCCCUGGCUAACUCCGUGCCAGCAGCCGCGGUAAUACGGAGAGGGCAAGCGUUGUUCGGAUUUAUUGUGCGUAAAGCGAGCGUAGGCGGUAUGGUAAGUCGGAUGUUAAAGACCCACGGCUCACCCGGGGGAAUGCGUUCGCUACUGCAGUACUUGAGUGUGGUAGAGGGAAGUGGAAUUCCUGGUGUAGCGGUGAAAUGCGUAGAUAGCAGGAGGAACACCUGGGGCGAAGGCGGCUUCCUGGCCCAUAACUGACGCUGAGGCUCGAAAGCGUGGGGAGCGAACG